GCUGUGGAGGGACGGCAUGGUGCGUCUGCCUAGAGUGUCAUGUUGCCGGAAGUUUCUCCGCUUCCAUCCCUUUUAAUGAAGCGGCUUCUUGGGCUUAGAGAGGACAUUUACUUGGACUUCCAGAAGCUGGAGCAAGGAAAUGGACUCAGUGGUCGUUGAGGAUGUGGCUGUGGUCUUUACUCAGGAAGAGUGUGGACUUUGCUGGAUCUUGCUCAGAGAAAACUCUACAGAGGUGUGAUGUUGGAAAUCUUCAGAAACCUGACUUCAGUAGGGAAGUAACGGAAAGAGCUGAGGAGAGUGGAGAUAAGACUCAUCCGGGUCCACUGUGUCAGGGAGCACCAGAUAAACAAGAAUUUUUUGAAGGACCAGCCAUGUGGAGAGAAUGAGAUUUCAGUCAGCUAGGGAAAGUUUCUUUCGUGUUGAAGAGUGUCUCAACAAGUUAAUGAUGGAGAAAAAUCAUCCAGUGAACUUACAAUAGUGCAAUUCAUGAAGAAUAACAAGUGGUCCUGAAAGUUAGAAAAAAUCUUCAAAUUGUUUGGCAGUGGAGGUCAACCUAAAAACUGGGGGAGACAUUCGAGAAGGCAUACAGUACAGAACCUUCAUGAAAGUAAUGAAGGCAAUCAGUGUGGAAAAGCCUUCGGCACAUUUCAAAUCUUACUGUGCUGAAAAGAAUUCCUGCAGAAGUAUAUCCUUUUGAAUGCUGUGAGUGUGGAAAAGCCUUCUUGGAACACUCAUCACAAGCCGUAAAGUAGACAACCUCCAUGAACGUAAGGAAGGCAUUCAGUGUGGCAAGACAUUCAGCUGGAUUCCACAUCUUACUAUACUAAAAAGAACUCCUCCAGAAGUAAAUCCUUUUGAAUGUUGUGAGUGUGGAAAAACCUUCAAGAAUCACUCAUCAUAUAAGCAUCAUACCAGAGAAGCCUGCCGUUGUCCCUGUUACCUAAGCACCCCUAUGAGAACUCUUACUGGAGAGAAACCCUAUAAGGUAAGGUAUGUGGGAAAGACUUCAUUUGUAUCUCAACCCUUUUAAGAAUCCUGUGACAACAAUUCCUGGAGAGAAACACUAUGAAUGUAACAACUUUGGGCAAGAUUUCUGUAGUUUCUUUUCAUGAGGGAUGAAUAUACGUGUUGGAUAACCAAUAUACGUGUUGGAUAACUUACAUGUUUUCUUUUUGCAAACCUAAAAGAAGAUACGUGGCAGAUUACCCACAUAAGUGUAAGGAAUGUGGGAAAAUUUCUGUGUUUCUCCAGAGUCAUUUAAAUUUUCACAUAUGGAAAGCCCAUUGGAAUAUAUAGGAAGUCACACUGUGUAGUCUUAGACAACAUGUGAGAUAUUACACUGUGGUGUCAUCCUAUGACUGUAAAAGACGAUGGACGCCUUCAGUGUCCACCAUCUCUCAGGCUACCUGUGAGAGCUCACACACUGCAAAGACCCAUUGACUGUAAGCAUUAUGAGGAAGCCUUCAGUCAUAUAAUUGGGCACAAGGAGAUUCAUACUAGGGGAGAAAUCAUUUAUAAAAGAUUUUAUAAAAUCUUUUAUAAAAGUUACACAUGGAAUUUAUUACUGCCUUAUUCCCAUGUGCGUUAAGUUCCACUUUUUAUUUUCUGAUGUAAACAUUAAGGUGGUAAAUAUCACUAAAUAUUCUUUGAAUUCUAGGACAUGAAUUUUGAUAGUGUCUGCAUUUUGAUUCAUUUAUAUAAAAAUUCUCUUCAUUAGAAAGUCUCAUCAACAACAUGGGUGUUUUGAAGUCUUUUCUAUCGACUAUGUUAAAUUUAAGCAUAUUUUCAGAGUAUAAAGCAGCAUGUUCUCAUUAUAGAAAAUUGUUUUUCACUGAAAAGUGUAUGAAGAAAUAAAAGUCACCUAGAAUCUGACCAUGCUUGGUAUAUUGAGUGUUUCCUUUCAGCCUUCUUUGUAUGCAAAGCAAUGUUUUUAACAGAAUGAGGAUUGACUACAUGUUUAAUGUUGUUCUGGAAUGUUUUGCAUCUCAUCUCUUUCUCCUCGACUACAAUCAUGAUCCUUGGUUUACUGAUGAAGAAACUGCACAGAAAUUUUAACCCAAAGUCAUUCCACACAAGUAUUCCUCUCUCAAGUGGCAUUGUGACAAGGAUAGUCCCUUCUGGGGCCCAAGGCAAUUGUGUGCCAACACAGUGCCCCAGUCUCACCUAGCUGCUGUGGACCCUCUGUCCUGCACAGGCUCAGAGCCUGUGCUUAGUGACAGAGUCCUACUUUUGAUAAUUCUGACAUUCCAAGAGUUGUGCCUAGUCAGGAGCUGAGGACUGGAAUAGUGGUGUCUGCUCCACCUGAUGUGCAUACCCACUGUAAGGGAUGGAGAAGGUAGCACACCACCUGGGGUUCUUGCAUUAGUAAGGACAAGCUAAGUGGCUGUUGGGCCCGAAGGUUUAUCUGGUGCCACUCUGCCCCAUUGUUAGCUGGGAGCUGCCUCACUGGCAAUUUAUGUAAAGG